rnacentral:misc_RNA from 1 species
AACGCACAUUGCGCCCCUUGGUAUUCCGAGGGGCAUGCCUGUUCGAGCGUCAUUACAACCCCUCAAGCCUGGCUUGGUGUUGGGGCCCGCGGUCUCGCGGCCCUUAAAAUCAGUGGCGGUGCCCUCUGGCUCUCAGCGUAGUAAUUGCUCUCGCUACAGGGUCCAGUUGGCGGCUGCCAGAACCCCCCAUUUUUUAGUUUGACCUCGGAUCAGGUAGGGAUACCCGCUGAACUUAA